rnacentral:SRP_RNA from 1 species
GCUAGGCACGGUAGCACGCACCUGUAGCCAGGAGGCUGAGGUGGGAGGAUUCCUUGAGUCCAGGAGUUCUGGGCUACAGUGGGCUAAACUGAUUGGAUGUCCUCACUAAGUUCAGCAUUAAUAUGGUGACCACCUGGAAGUGAAGGCCCACUGGGUUGCCCAAAGUGGGGUGAACUGGCCCAGGUAGGAUACAGAGCAAGUCAAAACUCUGGUGCUGAUCAGUAGUGCGAUCACAUCUAUGAAUAGCCACUACACUCCAGUCUGGGCAACAUAGCAAGACUUUGUCUCU